UGGGGAAUAUUGGACAAUGGGCGAAAGCCUGAUCCAGCCAUGCCGCGUGAGUGACGAAGGCCUUAGGGUUGUAAAACUCUUUCGUCGGGGACGAUAAUGACGGUACCCGAAGAAGAAGCUCCGGCUAACUUCGUGCCAGCAGCCGCGGUAAUACGAAGGGAGCUAGCGUUGUUCGGAAUCACUGGGCGUAAAGCGCACGUAGGCGGAUAGUUAAGUCAGGGGUGAAAUCCUGGGGCUCAACCCCAGAACUGCCUUUGAUACUGGCUGUCUCGAGGUCGAGAGAGGUUGGUGGAAUUCCUAGUGUAGAGGUGAAAUUCGUAGAUAUUAGGAAGAACACCAGUGGCGAAGGCGGCCAACUGGCUCGAUACUGACGCUGAGGUGCGAAAGCGUGGGGAGCAAACAGGAUUAGAUACCCCUGUAGUCCCUGAGCGGGCUGGCAAGGCGCAU
rnacentral:rRNA from 1 species